AAAUAAAGAUGUAAUCUACUUCACUGUCCGCCCGGGGACUACGAGCAAUAGCUUAAAACCCAAAGGACUUGGCGGUGCUCUAGACCCACCUAGAGGAGCCUGUUCUAGAACCGAUAUUCCCCGUUCAACCUCACCACUUCUUGUUCACCCCGCCUAUAUACCUCCGUUGUCAGCGUACCCCGUGAGGGCCGCAAAGUGGGCAGAAUUGGUCCCAACCCCAAAACGACAGGUCAAGGUGUAGCUCAUGAAGUGGAAUGUAAUGGGCUACAUUUUCUUCCCAAAGAAUACUACGAAAGAUAAACUGAAACGUUUAACGGAAGGAGGAUUUAGCAGUAAGCAGAAAAUAGAGCGUUCU
rnacentral:rRNA from 1 species